UCACAAGUCUUCUUCUACAUGCCAUGUGA
rnacentral:piRNA from 1 species